UGGGGAAUAUUGGACAAUGGGCGCAAGCCUGAUCCAGCAAUGCCGCGUGAGUGAUGAAGGCCUUAGGGUUGUAAAGCUCUUUCGCACGCGACGAUGAUGACGGUAGCGUGAGAAGAAGCCCCGGCUAACUUCGUGCCAGCAGCCGCGGUAAUACGAAGGGGGCUAGCGUUGUUCGGAAUUACUGGGCGUAAAGGGCGCGUAGGCGGCCUGUUUAGUCAGAAGUGAAAGCCCCGGGCUCAACCUGGGAAUAGCUUUUGAUACUGGCAGGCUUGAGUUCCGGAGAGGAUGGUGGAAUUCCCAGUGUAGAGGUGAAAUUCGUAGAUAUUGGGAAGAACACCGGUGGCGAAGGCGGCCAUCUGGACGGACACUGACGCUGAGGCGCGAAAGCGUGGGGAGCAAACAGAUUAGAUACCCUGGUAGUCCACGCCGUAAACGAUGAAUGCUAGACGUCGGGGUGCAUGCACUUCGGUGUCGCCGCUAACGCAUUAAGCAUUCCGCCUGGGGAGUACGGCCGCAAGGUUAAAACUCAAAGGAAUUGACGGGGUCAUAGCUGUUUCCU
rnacentral:rRNA from 1 species